rnacentral:tRNA from 1 species
ACAAUAAAAGCAAAAAUUGCAUUUAGUUUCGACCUAAAAUUUUAGUAUUUAAUUACUUUAUUGUU